CAAACACACACAUAUACUGACAGACAUAUUGACACACACACAGGCAUACUGACAUGCUGACACAUACACUGACAGACAUAUUGACACACACAUUAUUAUUAUGAUAUUUAUAUAGCGCCAUCAAAUUCUGCAGCGCUUUACAAUGGGUGGACGAACAGACAUGUAGUUGUAACCAGACAAGUUGGACACACAGGAACAGAGGGGUAGAGGGCCCUGCUCAAUGAGUUUAUAUGCUAGAGUGAGUGGGGUAAAAUGACACAAAAAGGUAAGGAUAGUAUUUUGUUAUUACGGUUGCGUCCGGUCUUGCGGGAAGUUGGACCGCUUAGAUGUUCUGGUUCCCGAACUUGAAGAGUCGAACGCUGCUUCAAUCGGCAAAAACCUGUAAGUGUAGAACAUCCCACUAGCUAUAGCAGAGCUAGGAUUCACGGUUCCCUACAACACGAGUCGAGGCUGCGAGUUGAGGGUAAAACGAACCGAGCACACGGGCAUCGCUAUUUAUGCAAAACCCCAGGUCCAGG